GAUGAACGCUGGGGGCGUGCCUAAUACAUGCAAGUCGAGCGAACGGACGAGAAGCUUGCUUCUCUGAUGUUAGCGGCGGACGGGUGAGUAACACGUGGAUAACCUACCUAUAAGACUGGGAUAACUUCGGGAAACCGUAGCUAAUACCGGAUAAUAUUUUGAACCGCAUGGUUCAAAAGUGAAAGACGGUCUUGCUGUCACUUAUAGAUGGAUCCGCGCUGCAUUAGCUAGUUGGUAAGGUAACGGCUUACCAAGGCAACGAUGCAUAGCCGACCUGAGAGGGUGAUCGGCCACACUGGAACUGAGACACGGUCCAGACUCCUACGGGAGGCAGCAGUAGGGAAUCUUCCGCAAUGGGCGAAAGCCUGACGGAGCAACGCCGCGUGAGUGAUGAAGGUCUUCGGAUCGUAAAACUCUGUUAUUAGGGAAGAACAUAUGUGUAAGUAACUGUGCACAUCUUGACGGUACCUAAUCAGAAAGCCACGGCUAACUACGUG
rnacentral:rRNA from 1 species